UCUUAGAGAUUAGUAAAGAAGAAUCUUUCGAGCAGAUAGGUCGUAAGAUAUCUUAAUUAAAACUUCUAGAAAUACAUCGUACGAGAUAUAUUUUGGGGUGGAUAGUGCGUGAAUGACGAUGUUGCCGAGUUUUACGUGGAAGUUUGUACGAGAAGAGUACGUAAACCAUCGUUGAAUGUACGCACUCUAAAGAAAGAUGGAAAGAGAGAGAGAAGGAAAGACAGAGAGAGAGAGAGAGAGAGAGAGAAGGAGAAGAGAGUGCUGCCCGUUCGAAGUACUUCGUUCUUGUAGCUACCCCGGUAUUUUAGUAGUUCGCCGAAACGAAGAGCUAUUUUCACCUCAAGAUCGCACACGCCGUACGAUAGCUACGUUGCAGAGGAGCACGGUUUACGGACAUCGCAAUAUGAAGAGAGAAUGAGGUCGACCACUCGGUGAAAUGGGUUAGAGAAGAUGGAUACCGACUGACUACCAUCCAACCAGCAUCCAUGAUCCAUGUCGGUUCGACCAAGUUAGUUCUUUUCAUUGCGAAACAAGUUUUAUGAGAGCACACGACUGAAGAUAAAGAGUACAUAAUACGAACGGAAGACUACGUAAUUCGUUGCUCUGAAAAAUAUAGCGGCCUUUAAAUGAGAUAAGGUUCAAAGAAGUCUUCCACCGAUAUACGUAUGCCGAUAAGCAGAAAAAGAGUGACAGGGUCAAGAUGAAGGUCGUCCGAUGAAAAGAAGAGAAGCGGAGAGAUACGGAAGCGUUUCUUACGCACGGGAAUGAUCCGGAGAUCGAUUUAACGUGAAUCGAUAACCCUUUGCGGCCGAAGGUGCUCUCUUACGAAUUAAGUCACUUUCGAAAACUGACGCGUAUUUCUACGAAUCCUUAGCGAUGGUAGAUGAAUGAUAAGAAAACGAAGAGAAAGGGAUGGAUGAUGGGGAUACGCUCGUAGCUCGUAAGAGGAACGAUAAUAAAAAAAAAAAAAAAAAAGAGAAAGGUAAAAAUAUAUAAGAGGAAAGAAGAAAGAUGCAUUCUCGCGCGUACGUUCAAGGAUUAUCAUUUCAAUGUCGAUCGUUUAUAGUUUUCCCUUGCUCGUAUCUUUCUUUCUUUCUUUUUUUUUUUUUUUUUUCUUUUUCUUUUUUUAACGUCGUUUGAAUAUUUCGUCAAUUAACUUAACUCGUGAUUUGCAUAGAUGAAAGUUUUGGUCGAUGCUCGUUUUUGAUUUUUCCCAUUGAAUUCAAAGGUUCGAUCCGAUAUCGAUCUCAAUUCGGGAGAGGACAAACGCAAGACAAGACGAAAGAAUCUUAAACCUUCGUCACGACGAGCUCGUCGAGACUUUUACGGAGAAGAACAGGGAGAUAAGAAAAAUGAUGCGAUCGACGUAACGUAGGGAGAAAAAAAAAAUAAAAGAUGGAAAAAGGAAAUAGAAAAAAAAAGAAAAAAAAAAAAAAAAAAGAAGAAGAAGAAAAAAUAAAGAACAAAGAAUUCCGUAGUAAAGGUGCUUUCUUUCGGGGAAAAAUUCUUUGCGUACUUUGCAAAACGAUCGGAAUUCCAUACGUCCCUUUUCCCAUUGUUGUUACUUUUUAUUUCAUUCUCUUUCUUUUCUCUUUUUGACAUUAUUUUUUUUCGAUUUCGCUUAAUUCACUUAACUCAUAUCGUAAUAAUAUCCAAUCGCGUCUAGGAGAAUUUUUUCUGCUAAUAUCGAUGCUCGCUGAUCGAAAAAUUUGUAUCGUACCAAGUUAAUUGUCCAAUGGGUCAAAGUUAAAAGAUUGUCAUUGAAAAUAUAAGUAAUUGCAUAUAAUGUGUAUUAGAAUGCGUAUCAACAAUGACGAUCAUAUUUAUGCGAAUAAAUUCGAAGAAGAAAGAAAAUUGCGUGGAAAAUUUGACUCGUCCCUAAUAAAUACUUAGCGUGCAUUUGCGAGCUCAUUAUCCGCGAAUCCCGUUAAUACUCGAUUUCUGUAAUCAACAGGGACAUUAAUAUGCAUUUUCAAAUAAAUGCCGCUUGUCGAGUUUGGAAGACGCAUUUCCGAGCGCUUUUACGUUGGAUUUUCACGGAGGGAUGACCGUUACGCGAAUCGACCAGAUCGCGUCAUAUUUACGCAUUGAAUUUCCGAAAUUACGAUUGCGGUGGGUUUGAUUUACGCCACGUUUUCGAGCUAUCCGCCGUUAGUCAUAUAACAUUCCUCGUGCCUUCCCGAGUUCUUCCUCAUUCCCCCUCCCGUACCAACCAUCCCUCUCAAUUUUCGCUAUUAUUUCCCAUCCUUUCUCCUGCUCGCUCACUUCGCCCUCAUUCUCUUUAACGCGUACGUAUCAUUUUUAUAUAAUUAACUUAAUUAU